CACGUAGGGUGCGAGCGUUGUCCGGAAUUAUUGGGCGUAAAGAGCUCGUAGGCGGUCUGUCGCGUCGGUCGUGAAAACCUGCAGCUUAACUGUGGGCUUGCGGUCGAUACGGGCAUGACUGGAGUUCGGCAGGGGAGACUGGAAUUCCUGGUGUAGCGGUGAAAUGCGCAGAUAUCAGGAGGAACACCGGUGGCGAAGGCGGGUCUCUGGGCAGUAACUGACGCUGAGGAGCGAAAGCGUGGGGAGCGAACAGG
rnacentral:rRNA from 1 species